rnacentral:RNase_P_RNA from 1 species
GCGGAAGGCUGGAUGGCCGCUGCGUCGACUCGUGUCGCAUGACCGACGUCCGCUCCCGUCACACGCAUGUGUGACAUCCGCGGCGUCGCUUUUGCGAGACAAAAGCGACGUAGAGGAAAGUCCGGACUCCAAGAAGAAACGGUGCCGGGUAACGCCCGGGCGGGGCAACCCGACGGAAAGCGCCACAGAAAUGAAACCGCCCCUACGGUCCGGCUUGCCGGAACAGUCGCAGGGGUAAGGGUGAAACGGUGGGGUAAGAGCCCACCGCGGGGCUGGCAACAGUUCUGGCACGGCAAGCCCCACCGGGAGCAAUGCCAAAUAGGGACCGCGCGCCGAUGAUCUUCGGGUCAAAGGCGGGGCUCUUCUGCCCCAGCAGGUCCGGGUUGGCAGCUAUAGCUGCAUCGGCAACGGUGCAGUCAGAGGAAUGGUCAUCGCCUGCUUUAGGGCAGGUACAAAAUCCGGCUUAUAGGCCUUCCGCGCAU